UGACGGUACCGUAUGAAUAAGGAUCGGCUAACUCCGUGCCAGCAGCCGCGGUAAUACGGAGGAUCCGAGCGUUAUCCGGAUUCAUUGGGUUUAAAGGGUCCGUAGGCGGAUUAGUAAGUCAGUGGUGAAAUCUCCUCGCUCAACUGUGGAACUGCCAUUGAUACUGUAAGACUUGAAUUAUGUGGAGGUAAGUGGAAUAUGUCGUGUAGCGGUGAAAUGCUUAGAGAUGACAUGGAACACCAAUUGCGAAGGCAGGUUACUACACAAAUAUUGACGCUGAUGGACGAAAGCGUGCGGAUCGAACAGGAUUAGAUACCCUGGUAGUCCACGCCGUAAACGAUGGAUACUCGCUGUU
rnacentral:rRNA from 1 species